rnacentral:rRNA from 1 species
UGGAUCCAGACUUUGAUCAUGGCUCAGGAUGAACGCUAGCUACAGGCUUAACACAUGCAAGUCGAGGGGAAACGACAUCGAAAGCUUGCUUUUGAUGGGCGUCGACCGGCGCACGGGUGAGUAACGCGUAUCCAACCUGCCCACCACUUGGGGAUAACCUUGCGAAAGUAAGACUAAUACCCAAUGAUAUCUCUAGAAGACAUCUGAAAGAGAUUAAAGAUUUAUCGGUGAUGGAUGGGGAUGCGUCUGAUUAGCUUGUUGGCGGGGUAACGGCCCACCAAGGCGACGGUCAGUAGGGGUUCUGAGAGGAAGGUCCCCCACAUUGGGACUGAGACACGGUCCAAACUCCUACGGGAGGCAGCAGUGAGGAAUAUUGGUCAAUGGGCGAGAGUCUGAACCAGCCAAGUAGCGUGCAGGAUGACGGCCCUAUGGGUUGUAAACUGCUUUUAUAAGGGAAUAAAGUGAGUCUCGUGAGAUUUUUUGCAUGUACCUUAUGAAUAAGGACCGGCUAACUCCGUGCCAGCAGCCGCGGUAAUACGGAAGGUCCGGGCGUUAUCCGGAUUUAUUGGGUUUAAAGGGAGCGUAGGCCGGAGAUUAAGCGUGUUGUGAAAUGUAGACGCUCAACGUCUGCACUGCAGCGCGAACUGGUUUCCUUGAGCACGCACAAAGUGGGCGGAAUUCGUGGUGUAGCGGUGAAAUGCUUAGAUAUCACGAAGAACUCCGAUUGCGAAGGCAGCUCACUGGAGCGCAACUGACGCUGAAGCUCGAAAGUGCGGGUAUCGAACAGGAUUAGAUACCCUGGUAGUCCGCACGGUAAACGAUGGAUGCCCGCUGUUGGUCUGAAUAGGUCAGCGGCCAAGCGAAAGCAUUAAGCAUCCCACCUGGGGAGUACGCCGGCAACGGUGCAACUCAAAUGAAUUGACG